rnacentral:rRNA from 1 species
UACGGGGGGGGCAAGCGUUGUUCGGAAUUACUGGGCGUAAAGGGCUCGUAGGCGGCCAACUAAGUCGGACGUGAAAUCCCUCGGCUUAACCGGGGAACUGCGUCCGAUACUGGAUGGCUUGAGUUUGGGAGAGGGACGCGGAAUUCCAGGUGUAGCGGUGAAAUGCGUAGAUAUCUGGAGGAAUACCGGUGGCGAAGGCGGCAUCCUGGACCGACAUUGACGCUGAUGAGCGAAAGCUAGGGGAGCAAACCGG